rnacentral:misc_RNA from 1 species
AAGUCGUAACAAGGUUUCCGUAGGUGAACCUGCGGAAGGAUCAUUACUGAUUUAGCGAACCGAGCAUUAGCGAGGUUUUGCGAUCACUUGUAUUUAAAACCCAACUCAUAUAAAAUAUGUAUAUUUUUGAAAAAUAAAUUAAAGAUCACUUUCAACAACGGAUCUCUUGGCUCUC